AUAUUAUGGCACUUGUAGCUCUGAAAAUCGUCUGUGAGAAUGUGAAGGAACGGUCAGCAUGCUCAAUUUUAUUUGUGCAAGAGACUGACGACAUGCCAGCAACGCCAUGUGUAUCUUAUAAUGGGGCCGUCCUUGAAGAUGCAGAGUUUUUCUGGCUGAUGCUAGACCAGACAAAGUGUUUUCAAGUGACUAAUGCAGAGGAAGGACUUGUCCCAAUUAUGUGUGUAAACUGGUUGUUCAAUGUUCAAUAUGCUUGUAAAGCGUUCAACACCCUUGUCGUCCUCGAAAGAUUUUUUUUUGAGCUCGAAAAGACAACACCAAGAUCUGUUGUUGCAAAGUUCUUAAACAUUGUCGUAAAAUCCACAUAGUCAUAUGAUAAUGCCAUAUGGUAAUGUUCUUGCACAUUUGCCUUACUGCAUAUUUUUUAUGUUUGAUUGUAUUAGUGAUUGAAAAUAUAUUGAUUUUGCAUUUGCUUCACAAGUCGUGCAUGUUUCUCCUUUUGCAUAGCCGGGCACACAUGCUGUCAAAUAACCCAUGGUCAUUGAACUUUUUAGUUAUUACCAUAUUACAUUCCUGCAAGACGGAACUAUUGUGCAAUAGUUUUUGCUGCUUGUUUGCUAAUCUAAAUAACAUUACACUGCCUUGGUUAUGGUCAGAUUAGAUUAUGUGGGCCAUUAUGAUAUAAUGCACAUUGCAAGAAGCAUGUGUAAAAUUUUGCAAUAAAUGUAAAUAAUUUAGAGAAAAA
rnacentral:lncRNA from 1 species